AGUCGAGCGCCCCGCAAGGGGAGCGGCAGACGGGUGAGUAACGCGUGGGAACGUACCCUUUACUACGGAAUAACGCAGGGAAACUUGUGCUAAUACCGUAUGUGCCCUUCGGGGGAAAGAUUUAUCGGUAAGGGAUCGGCCCGCGUUGGAUUAGCUAGUUGGUGGGGUAAAGGCCUACCAAGGCGACGAUCCAUAGCUGGUCUGAGAGGAUGAUCAGCCACAUUGGGACUGAGACACGGCCCAAACUCCUACGGGAGGCAGCAGUGGGGAAUAUUGGACAAUGGGCGCAAGCCUGAUCCAGCCAUGCCGCGUGAGUGAUGAAGGCCCUAGGGUUGUAAAGCUCUUUCACCGGAGAAGAUAAUGACGGUAUCCGGAGAAGAAGCCCCGGCUAACUUCGUGCCAGCA
rnacentral:rRNA from 1 species